rnacentral:tRNA from 1 species
GCGCCUAUAGCUCAGCUGGAUAGAGUGCCUGACUACGGAUCAGGAGGUCGGGGGUUCGAAUCCCUCUGGGCGUGCCA